rfam:Bacteroidetes bacterium RIFCSPLOWO2_12_FTLL_37_12 rifcsplowo2_12_scaffold_356, whole genome shotgun sequence.
AUAAGCUGGAGUCCAGAACCCACUUAAAAAAACGGGCGUAACCGAAAAGCUUUGUGAGAAGGUCAAAA